rnacentral:rRNA from 1 species
AGUGAACGCUGGCGGUAGGCCUAACACAUGCAAGUCGAACGGCAGCACAGUAAGAGCUUGCUCUUACGGGUGGCGAGUGGCGGACGGGUGAGGAAUACAUCGGAAUCUACUUUUUCGUGGGGGAUAACGUAGGGAAACUUACGCUAAUACCGCAUACGACCUACCGGUGAAAGCAGGGGAUCUUCGGACCUUGCGCGAUUGAAUGCGCCGAUGUCGGAUUAGCUAGUUGGCUGGGUAAAGGCCCACCAAGGCGACGAUCCGUAGCUGGUCUGAGAGGAUGAUCGGCCACACUGGAACUGAGACACGGUCCAGACUCCUACGGGAGGCAGCAGUGGGGAAUAUUGGACAAUGGGCGCAAGCCUGAUCCAGCAAUACCGCGUGGGUGAAGAAGGCCUUCGGGUUGUAAAGCCCUUUUGUUGGGAAAGAAAAGCAGCAGGUUAAUACCCCGCUGUUCUGACGGUACCCAAAGAAUAAGCACCGGCUAACUUCGUG